UACGUAGGGGGCUAGCGUUGUCCGGAAUCAUUGGGCGUAAAGAGCGUGUAGGCGGUCCGGUAAGUCCGCUGUGAAAGUCGGGGGCUCAACCCUCGAAUGCCGGUGGAUACUGUCGGGCUAGAGUGCGGAAGAGGCGAGUGGAAUUCCUGGUGUAGCGGUGAAAUGCGCAGAUAUCAGGAGGAACACCGGUGGCGAAGGCGGUGGUCUGGGCCGGAACUGACGCUGAGGAGCGAAAGCGUGGGGAGCGAACAGG
rnacentral:rRNA from 1 species